rnacentral:rRNA from 1 species
AUUGAACGCUGGCGGCAGGCCUAACACAUGCAAGUCGAACGGAGCGGCGGACGUGUGAAAUAUGUCUGGGACACUGCCUGAUGGAGGGGGAAAACUUUUGGAAACGGGCCCUACUACCGCAUACUAUCAGAUGAGCCUCGGUCGGCUUAGCUUGUUGGUGGUGUAAAGGCCUACCAAGGCGACGAUCCGUAGCUGGUCUGAGAGGAUGAUCAGGCACACUGGAACUGUGACACGGGCCAGACGCCUACGGUCGGCAGCAGUGGUGAAUAUUGGACAAUGGGCGAAAGCCUGAUCCAGCCAUGCCGCGUGUGUGAAGAAGGGCUUCGGUUUGUAAAGCACGUUAAGUUGGGAGGCGUUACCUGCAGAAGAAGCACCGGCUAACUACGUGCCAGCAGCCGCGGUAAUUC